rnacentral:rRNA from 1 species
CCUACGGGAGGCAGCAGUGAGGAAUAUUGGUCAAUGGACGAGAGUCUGAACCAGCCAAGUAGCGUGAAGGAUGACUGCCCUAUGGGUUGUAAACUUCUUUUAUAAAUGAAUAAAACGAGGCACGUGUGCCUUUUUGCAUGUACUUUAUGAAUAAGGAUCUGCUAACUCCGUGCCAGCAGCCGCGGUAAUCCGGAGGAUCCGAGCGUUAUCCGGAUUUAUUGGGUUUAAGGGGAGCGUAGAUGGGUUGUUCGGUCAGUUGUGAAAGUUUGCGGCUCAACCGUAAAAUUGCAAUUGAUACUGGCAGUCGUGAGUACAGUUGAGGUAGGCGGAAUUCGUGGUGUAGCGGUGAAAUGCUUAGAUAUCACGAAGAACCCCGAUUGCGAAGGCAGCUUACUAAACUGUGACUGACAUUGAUGCUCGAAAGUGUGGGUAUCAAACAGGAUUAGAUACCCGAGUAGUC